GGGCCCGCACAAGCGGAAGGAACAUGUGGUUUAAUUCGAUGAUACGCGAGGAACCUUACCCGGGUUUGAACGUAGGGAGACUGUAGUGGAAACAUUACUUUCAGCAAUGACUGCCUACGAGGUGCUGCAUGGUUGUCGUCAGCUCGUGCCGUGAGGUGUCGGCUUAAGUGCCAUAACGAGCGCAACCCUUAUUGUUAGUUACCAUCAGGUAGUGCUGGGGACUCUAACAAGACUGCCAGCGUAAGCUGUGAGGAAGGUGGGGAUGACGUCAAAUCAGCACGGCCCUUACAUCCGGGGCGACACACGUGUUACAAUGGAGGGGACAAAGGGCUGCCACCCGGCGACGGGGCGCUAAUCCCAAAACCCCUUCUCAGUUCGGAUCGGAGUCUGCAACUCGACUCCGUGAAGCCGGAUUCGCUAGUAAUCGCGCAUCAGCCAUGGCG
rnacentral:rRNA from 1 species